GAUGAACGCUGGCGGCGUGCCUAAUACAUGCAAGUCGAGCGAACAGACGAGGAGCUUGCUUCUCUGACGUUAGCGGCGGACGGGUGAGUAACACGUGGAUAACCUACCUAUAAGACUGGGAUAACUUCGGGAAACCGGAGCUAAUACCGGAUAAUAUUUUGAACCGCAUGGUUCAAUAGUGAAAGACGGUCUUGCUGUCACUUAUAGAUGGAUCCGCGCUGCAUUAGCUAGUUGGUAAGGUAACGGCUUACCAAGGCAACGAUGCAUAGCCGACCUGAGAGGGUGAUCGGCCACACUGGAACUGAGACACGGUCCAGACUCCUACGGGAGGCAGCAGUAGGGAAUCUUCCGCAAUGGGCGAAAGCCUGACGGAGCAACGCCGCGUGAGUGAUGAAGGUCUUCGGAUCGUAAAACUCUGUUAUUAGGGAAGAACACAUGUGUAAGUAACUGUGCACGUCUUGACGGUACCUAAUCAGAAAGCCACGGCUAACUACGUG
rnacentral:rRNA from 1 species